rnacentral:lncRNA from 1 species
AUUUUUUUAUAUAAUUUCCAAAGUAAUGCUUAUAUAUUAAACAGAGAAAUAGAUUAUCAAGCUGACCAAUAUAUAAACAUGACGCUAACGUUCAGCUAGGCCUAAUUUAGGAGACACGAGGAAUAAUACCUGUAGUCUUGAAAGGCCAAUGACAGCUGACCUGGGAACGGAUCUGACCAUUCUAGCGUCAGCUGAGAUCGAGGAGGCGACUUGCAUAAUCGCCACUGGGGUUCGUCUGCUGCUGGCCUCCGAAAUGGGCAGAACUCAUCAGCCCUGAUUUGAUGAUUGAUUUCUCACAUUUAUUCACCAAAAAGCAUCAAGUGCGAGCGAGAUACCCAUAAUGUCAUGGAUAGGUAAGUAUAUGUAUUUAAAACGUUUGCCUCUAAACGCAGAUGAUGUAUUUAGUCAGGGAGGUGAAUAUUAGCUAGCAGCGGGUGGCUAGGAUAUCUUGUUAUCCUCGGUGGUGUCCACUCUUGCCAAAAAUGAUUGCACUGUUUGGCCUUCUUAUUUGAUCACCUGUCUAUUGCACCUCGUAAAACAACUUUUUUCGACAGAUUAUGAGGUUAAUUUAUGCAUUAUGACCGGCCAUUUCAGAUGACCUUUUUCAAUUAACGUUAUGUUGUGAGCCACCCAGGGCUAGCUAGCGUUAUGUUGCUGUAAAAGUCAUUGGCUGAUGGUGUUUUAGCCAGCUAGCAUUUAGCGUGCUAACGGUAAAGAAAAUGUUAACGGAUGGCGUUACUCGAAGUUAGUGAAGUGUUUCAGCGAUUUUCGGAGGAAUUGUCUCGUACCAUUAACCACAGCCUGUGAAGUAUCAUCAAAUACAAAAGCUUACGUAGACAUUAUUCGAAUUGCUUUUUUCAAGCAUCCUUUACUGUCCAGUAACUGAACUCGUGUGGCAGAAAAAAAAAUAAGAUUUUAGAUUGCUCUGCGAUGAUGCAAAAUUUAGCCUUCUCCCUUUACAAAUUAGCUGUCAUUCAACGUUAGUUCAGCUUUUAAACAAACUUUAAAAAAAGAAUGACACUAGUGUUGUGUAUUUCCUAAGGCACAACUGGUAUUAAAGUAGAAUUAUAAGUACAUUUAUAUGCCUUUUGCAAUGACGGCCAAUGAGUUACAUAACUUUAUGCUUUAAUGUUUUCACGUUUUGCAUCUUCUACAUCCUUAUUCGUGUUAAUAGGGUUGUAAUAUUCCUGUGAGUUUGACACAUCCAUCGACACAUUUAUUUACGUGUGUGUGUGUGUUUGCGUGCGUGGGUGGGUGUGUUUGGGGGGCAGAGAUGA